UACGUAGGGUGCGAGCGUUGUCCGGAAUUACUGGGCGUAAAGAGCUCGUAGGUGGUUUGUCGCGUUGUUCGUGAAAACUCACAGCUUAACUGUGGGCGUGCGGGCGAUACGGGCAGACUGGAGUACUGCAGGGGAGACUGGAAUUCCUGGUGUAGCGGUGAAAUGCGUAGAUAUCUGGAGGAACACCGGUGGCGAAGGCGGCAUCCUGGACCGGUAUUGACGCUGAGGCGCGAAAGCUAGGGGAGCAAACGGG
rnacentral:rRNA from 1 species